rnacentral:rRNA from 1 species
UUUGUGGGGUGCUCGAGUGGCGAACGGGUGAGUAACACGUGGGUAACCUGCCCUUGACUUUGGGAUAACUUCAGGAAACUGGGGCUAAUACCGGAUAGGAGCUCCUGCUGCAUGGUGGGGGUUGGAAAGUUUCGGCGGUUGGGGAUGGACUCGCGGCUUAUCAGCUUGUUGGUGGGGUAGUGGCUUACCAAGGCUUUGACGGGUAGCCGGCCUGAGAGGGUGACCGGCCACAUUGGGACUGAGAUACGGCCCAG